AAAGUACCUGGACCUCUAUGCCCAUGCUUCUAGCAGCCAGCCUCCUAAAAUACCUCUAGUUGAAGCCAAAGUUAGAAUCCUUCUAUGAAACUACAGGAUUAAAAUGGAAUGGUUACAUGACCCAGGCUUGACCAAUCAGAUCAUCCAAACCCUUUGCCACAGUGAUUGGUCCAGGGAUACAUGCAUGAGCCAGCUCAGGCCUAAGCCACACUCAUCUUGUGGAUGACACUGGAGCUGUGACAGUCUGUUCUGUCCAGGCUGGGUGUCUUUUAUUUUUAUUGGAAAUAAGAUUAUCACAGUACGCAAGGCCCAAACAAUUGGUGAUAAUGAAGAAACUCUACUACCAGACGUUGCGGGAUGCCUCAAUGACCUAAUCCAGCAAAUCACAGCUCCAGCUGUCCAUGAGCACUG
rnacentral:antisense_RNA from 1 species